GUCCCCAUAGUUCAAUAGGAUAGAACCGCAGUUUCCUAAACUGUUAAUCCGAGUUCGAGUCUCGGUGGGGGCACCA
rnacentral:tRNA from 1 species